AAUGAGACUGCCGGUGACAAGCCGGAGGAAGGUGGGGAUGACGUCAAGUCCUCAUGGCCCUUAUAGGUGGGGCUACACACGUCAUACAAUGGCUGGUACAAAGGGUGCAACCGCAGGGGAGCCAAUCCCAUAAAGCCAGUCGUAGUCCGGAUCGUAGUCUGCAACUCGACUACGUGAAGUCGGAAUCGCUAGUAAUCGUGGAUCAGAAUGUCACGGUGAAUACGUUCCCGGGUCUU
rnacentral:rRNA from 1 species